GAUGAAGAACGUAGCGAAAUGCGAUAAGUAAUGUGAAUUGCAGAAUUCAGUGAAUCAUCGAAUCUUUGAACGCUUCUUGCGCUCCUUGGUAUUCUGAGGAGCAUGCCUGUUUGAGUGUCAUUAAAUUCUCAACUACACUGACUUUGAAUUGGUGUGGCUUGGAUUUGGGGGGAAAAUUGUUGUGGGCUUUUUGUAUAGUCUGCUCCCCUGAAAUUGAUUAGCGGUACCUUUGUGGAACUGUCUACAGGUGUGAUAAUUAUCUACAUCAUAGACAUCUGCUGGAAUGCUGCUUUCUAAACCUUACUUGUAUUGACAAUCUUGACCUCAAAUCAGGUAGGACUACCCGCUGAACUUAAGCAUAUCAAUAAGCGGAGGA
rnacentral:misc_RNA from 1 species